rnacentral:rRNA from 1 species
CUACGGGCGGCAGCAGUGGGGAAUAUUGCACAAUGGGCGCAAGCCUGAUGCAGCCAUGCCGCGUGUAUGAAGAAGGCCUUCGAGUUGUAAAGUACUUUCAGCGGGGAGGAAGGGAGUAAAGUUAAUACCUUUGCUCAUUGACGUUACCCGCCGAAGAAGCACCGGCUAACUCCGUGCCAGCAGCCGCGGUGAUACGGAGGGUGCAAGCGUUAAUCGGAAUUACUGGGCGUAAAGCGCACGCAGGCGGUUUGUUAAGUCAGAUGUGAAAUCCCCGGGCUCAACCUGGGAACUGCAUCUGAUACUGGCAAGCUUGAGUCUCGUAGAGGGGGGUAGAAUUCCAGGUGUAGCGGUGAAAUGCGUAGAGAUCUGGAGGAAUACCGGUGGCGAAGGCGGCCCCCUGGACGAAGACUGACGCUCAGGUGCGAAAGCGUGGGGAGCAAACAGGAUUAGAUACCCCCGUAGUC